UGCACAGGGAUGUGGGAGGACGGCCAGGAGCUAGGGGUGGUGCUGGCCAGUUUGGCAGUUUGUUCCAGGAACUGUGGACAGAGUUGUGGGGGAGGGGUGCGGAGGGGGAGGGAAUAAACAGCGAAGAGGAAACUCCAUUGCCAGUACUUGGAAAUUAGGAAGGGGCUGGAGUGUAGCUCAGUUAGCUUAGUGCUUGUUUAAGACUCACAGAGUCCUGGAGUUGAUCUCCAGAUCCAGGACAUGGAGGUGCAUACCUGCAAUACCAGCACGUGAUAGGUGAAGAUAAUAAGAGCAGUUCAAGGUCAUCUUUAGGGACAUAUGAAAUGCGAGGUCACUGUGGGCUACAUCUUGUCUUAAAAAAAAAGACAGAAACUCGGAGAAGAUCAACAAGGAGAUUGGCUGUGUAUCCUGUAAAUGAGCCGCAGGUCUCUGGGUUUUCCAGCCUCUGCUUCCUGGUCUUCCUGGCAGUGUUGGGCGUGGACUCUCUUUUGUAUCCUGGGCCUCAAUUUAGACCAAUCACUGGCUGCCCACUCCCAAAAGUUCUACACUUCCAUUGUCCCUGCAUAUCUUGCAGUCAGGAUAGAUUGUAGGUUGAAGGUUUUGUGGCUGGGUUGGUGUCCCAGUCUCAACACUGGGAGGUGUCUGGUUAAAGAAUAUGGCCAGUUCAGACUCUAUUUUCUCCAUUACUAGGAGUCUUCCCUAGGUUUACUCUCAUAGUAUUGUGGAAGUUUCCACUGCACUAGGGUUCCAUGUAGCCCCCCAAAUGUUCUCGAAUUCAUUAGGCUCUCUCCCCUGUACUGUCUUCCUCCACCCCUCCCCUACCACUUGAUCCCUCCUAAUCCAUCUGGAAAAUCAAUUUCUCCUUCCCAGGGAGAUCCAUACAUCCAGCUUUGAGCCCAAUUUGUUACUUAUCCUCUCUGGGUCUGUGGGUUGUAGCAUUC